rnacentral:pre_miRNA from 1 species
GAACGGUGCGCUGUAAAUCUGGUUUACCGUAAGUUUAAACGGCGACCGUAGAUUUCUACGGUCACCGUUUAAAUUUAUCGUAAACCAGAUUUACGGUGCACCGUU